rnacentral:rRNA from 1 species
GACGAACGCUGGCGGCGUGCCUAAUACAUGCAAGUCGAGCGAGUGAAACGCCUUCGGGCGUGGAUCGAGCGGCGAACGGGUGAGUAACACGUGGGCAACCUGCCCAUCAGCCUGGGAUAGCUCCGGGAAACCGGAAUUAAUACCAGAUAGGCAUCUUUCCUGCAUGGGAGAGAUGAGAAAGAUGGCUUCGGCCGUCCCUGAUGGAUGGGCCCGCGACGCAUUAGCUAGUAGGUGAGGUAACGGCUCACCUAGGCGACGAUGCGUAGCCGACCUGAGAGGGUGAUCGGCCACACUGGGACUGAGACACGGCCUAGACUCCUACGGGAGGCAGCAGUAGGGAAUUUUCCGCAAUGGGCGAAAGCCUGACGGAGCAACGCCGCGUGAGUGAGGACGGUCUUCGGAUUGUAAAGCUCUGUUCUGUAGGAAGAAAUCCUGAUGUCGAAUACAUAUCAGGGAUGACGUUACUACAGCAGAAAGCCCCGGCUAACUACGUGCCAACCGCCGCCGUAAAAC